GACGAACGCUGGCGGCGUGCUUAACACAUGCAAGUCGAACGGAAAGGCCCUGCUUGCAGGGUACUCGAGUGGCGAACGGGUGAGUAACACGUGGGUGAUCUGCCCUGCACUUCGGGAUAAGCUUGGGAAACUGGGUCUAAUACCGGAUAGGAACCAUCUUUAGUGUGGUGGUUGGAAAGUUUUUUCGGUGUAGGAUGAGCUCGCGGCCUAUCAGCUUGUUGGUGGGGUAAUGGCCUACCAAGGCGGCGACGGGUAGCCGGCCUGAGAGGGUGUACGGCCACAGUGGGACUGAGAUACGGCCCAGACUCCUACGGGAGGCAGCAGUGGGGAAUAUUGCACAAUGGGCGCAAGCCUGAUGCAGCGACGCCGCGUGGGGGAUGAAGGCCUUCGGGUUGUAAACUCCUUUCGCUAGGGACGAAGCUUUGUUGUGACGGUACCUAGAUAAGAAGCACCGGCUAACUACGUG
rnacentral:rRNA from 1 species